UUAAAAGCAGUAUUAGAAUAUAUCAACUUUGGAAGUUGAAGGAUAGUUAAACUACUUUUAAA
rnacentral:tRNA from 1 species